CGUGCGUCGUCAAACGUUUCGUGAUCCCAACCCGCACCCGAGCCAGAGCAAACCCUACCCGAGCGAAUCCUCCCGCACACCCUGCCUCCACCGCACCCAUCGUCCCCAAUCCUGCGCCGCCGCCCCCGUCGCCCAAACUUCCACGGCCCAUCACCUCCACACGCCGCCGAGCUGCAGCGCCGGCAGCUGCCACUGCCGCAGCCUCGCAGGGUUGGGGACGAAGGGCACAACCUAGCCAAGGGACGGCCAUGGAGGGCAGCAGGCACGAGAAGGGGAGCCAAAGGGAAGGAAGGAGGGCGGCGCGACGGCUGAAAGCUUCACCGAAACCAGGCGGACGGCGGCGCUUCCGCGCGAGGCAUGACGGGGGGUAGGGGCGGGCCUCCCCGACCUUCGAUCCCCUCGCUUCAACGGCGGCGGCACCCCGUCCUUUUCUAAGGCUUGCAACCACGUCCAGCUCGACGUCCUGUGCUUCGGGGAUGGUGGCGCUUCUGCUCCUCGUGCGGGAGGAUGAUGCAAAAUCGUGGAUGAAGUUCGGGAACUCCUGGUCUUGACCGACGCCCUCUGCUCCGGUCCCCGACACAGCAACCAGAUCGUGGGUGCCAUCCUGCCCUAAGGUUACAUGCACUACCUGUCUCUCCUUGAUCUGAUCUCUCAAAGUCCCGAUCUAUUUCAGCAAAACUAUCUUCUAUCUAUUUGAUACUCUUUUUUGGUAAACAGUUUUAACCUAUUGUAAUUGCUCUCAUUCUGGAGCGAGGUCACUAUUGACAAGUCAUUGCAGUGCUACUACCGCAUUAAUCUUAGCAGUGAAGCUAUGGUCUGUUCUUUGGUACAACAAUGAAAUGUUAAUAUGCCAUUCUCCUUUAUGCUUUGUGUCAGUGCACUGUGGUAUGACACCAACACUUAUUUGGCACCUACAUUGCAUCGACAAUUUGCCAGCUUACAGUUUGUACCAUCGAGAAUUUGCACGACUUUACACCUGCAGCUGUACCACUAUACUAUAAAUAUGUUUUGAUGUCUAAACUGGUGUUGGUACUGAACCUGAUAGUGUAUUUGGCGUAUCUUUUCUGUAGAAUUAGUACCAGAGUUCUAUUUGUAGUAUUAUUAAUAGUAAAGAGAUAAUUAGACCAUAGAGUCGCUUUUGAUUUGGUUUAUUCCUUCAGAUCAUGCAAUAGAUGUAAGCACACAUUUAAGUACUUUAUCUUAUUACAAAAACUGAACAAAGAUAUACCAGCAAUACGUUUCAUGACGUAGUGUUAUCUGUGCAAGAAAAUUGCUUGAAUGAUUAUUAAUCAAUAUAAGCAAUCUAUCAUGUAGGUUUUGUUCGAUCCUACACUUAAAGAAAAUCAUACUGAAGAUCUGAGCUUAAGUGUUCCAACAGCUGAAGCACCAGCUCAAGAUGAAAGGAUCCUCUUAAUAUGAUUGUAGGUCCAUUCCUGUAAAGUGCAGUUAGAAUAUGGAAUCCACCUGGAACUUGGUUUUAAAAACAGAAAGCAUAUGGAAUUUUGAGGUUUCUGCUUUCUAUGUGAGUAUCUUGGUGCAUGCUUGUUUCUGAAUAAAAUGCAGAGGUCAUGAACAAAUUAAAACAUGCUCUCUGAUGGGCAAGGGUAGGUUUAUUUUUAGUUGAAGUGGUAUCAGUUGUAUACUUAUAUACACGCCAUUUGAAAAAUAGUAUGUAUCUCCUUGCAAACUACUACGUAUUAUUUAAAUGUUUUACAUAAGACUGUCCGUCCAGAUACAAUAACUAUUUAGUAUUUUAAUAACUUGAAUUGCACGGCUUGAUCGCUCUGCUUGGGUCUUCUCUUAUGUAUGAGUCACCAUGUGCGGGUUAAAUAAGUGCCCCAGCUUCGGUGAUGCACGGGCGAGGCAACACGAUUUGGUGCAGUGGCCCUCCUUCCAAGAAAUCAAGUUUUUACGUUCAGAUUUUAGAGCUCUUGAGUUUCAGCUUAGUUCAAGGAUAUAAAAGCAUACUCCUUAUGGAUUCAACGAGGAAGACCAUUAGCCACCACCUUUUUAGAAUUGGAUGGUGUGGUGCACCUUCAUCCUGCUGUCCAAUUUCUUAGCUUAUUUGCUUUAAAUGUACUACAGUAUAUAGCAGUAUAAGGAUCCAAUCUUGUGACGCCUCUCCAUUUGCACCAUCGUCAAAAGUUGCACAUGAGUUGAUUCAGACUUUCAGAGUUUUCAUAGAACACCUAGAGUUAAUCAGCCUGAAGGUAUAUCAGAUCCUAUGGAAAGGGGAUCCGGUUCAGAUUUGUCACUACUGUGUGUUGUUGGAUAGCCAUGGUGUGUAUUAGUUUGUUUUUACCACAGUUCGGUUCUUGGUAGUUAGGAUAUCAGGUGUAUACAUUACUUUUCUUAUGAAUUUUUUCUCUUUUAGUGCACUAUCUAUCUAUCUAUCUAUCUAUCUAUCUAUCUAUCUAAGUUUUCAAAGAAAUUGAUGGCGGUGGCUCAGAGGCGUCGUGGUGAAUGGUGAAGCUUCUAAAAUGGAUGGAAGAGAGGUGGUGACUUGCGGCUGGGAGACGUACAUAUUUGAGGAGAUACGAUUCAUAAGGUUUCAUAUUAACAAAAAAUGAUGAUCUUUGUAAAGUAAUCCGAACAUUUUGUUGAUUCUGGGACAAUUUUAUUCUCCAAUAUGAAUCCGUAAGAAAAGAUAUGACAAUACAUUUGUGCAAAUUGAUAAUGACAUGUGUGCUAUUUCUGAAAAAGGAAGCUUCUCUGUUGGCUGGCAUCCCUGAUGGUGCCUUUAGAUAUGUAGGAAAAGAAAUGGUAUCUCAUAAUUCACUGGAUGUAGACCAGUAGGGUCAAUUACAAAUUGUUGGCUGUAAAUUACUUUCAGUUUCUAGCUUUCAUAAAAAAAUUAGACAUGUACUGUUUAAUUAAAAUUGUGUGAGUAUGUUGUGGUUGAUGGUGGUCCUAUGUGCUGGUUCAAAUUAUCAUGUUGGAUAAUAUUGCUUUUACUAGCAGUUGCAGUGCUCUUAUUAUUAUUUUUCACAAAUAUCA